rnacentral:rRNA from 1 species
UACGUAGGGGGCGAGCGUUGUCCGGAUUUAUUGGGCGUAAAGAGCGUGUAGGCGGUCCGGUAAGUCCGCUGUGAAAGUCGGGGGCUCAACCCUCGGAUGCCGGUGGAUACUGUCGGGCUUGAGUACGGAAGAGGCGAGUGGAAUUCCUGGUGUAGCGGUGAAAUGCGCAGAUAUCAGGAGGAACACCAAUUGCGAAGGCAGCUCGCUGGGACGUUACUAACGCUGAGACGCGAAAGCGUGGGGAGCAAACAGG